AAAAAUUCCCCAACUCUUUCACUUUUAUCUUUAUCUCUCUUGGUCUCUCUCUCUCUUUUUCUUGAUUUUUCUUCUUUUAGUUUUAUUUUCUUUUGUUAAUUUUAGUUUUAUUUUGGGAAUCAAGUGGAUAUAGCAAUGAGAUCAUUAAGGAAAGCUUGAAGAAUACAUUGAAGGAAUUACAAUUCGUAUUUAAAAGGGUUUUAUCUCAACUUUUGUAUUCCUUUCAUUUAGUUCUUCAUGUUUGUAAUGAUAUGUUUAUGAGAAUCUCUUUGUUAUUUUGUUAGAAUGAUGAACUAAACAAGUUUAUGUUGGAAUUUAUGUAUUAGCUUAACCUAUUUUCAUU
rnacentral:lncRNA from 1 species